rnacentral:lncRNA from 1 species
AUGCGUCGAUGUCAGCGGAUAUGCCUCAGUGUACAGAGGUAUCAUAUCCAUAUAGAAAAAAGCGGACCUCUUCAUCGCCGUUUUCGUGUCGCAACCCUCCGAGGAUGCUGUUGCCGCCGUGUGACAGCCACCAUCUCUGCUAAGGAAGUCGUGGACAUUAAAAAACCCAACGCACAACUGACUGGUGUUGUGAAAAGGCCACGAUGGGACCUCGAUAAGCUGCAGGAUCAUGAUAAAUGCUGGUGCGUUUCUGUCUCCAGACACCAUCAGGGAUGCAGCGACCGAAGCAGGCCGCUGCGCACUGACACGGAGGCGUGUUUGUUGUGCUCUGACUUCCCUGGAUGCUGGUGCCACUUUACAACCCCACUGAAUACCUGCCACUCCGCCGUCGGCUUGUCCCUCUAAUUCUUCAGUCUUAAAAUGGACGAAGCCCCUUUUUUGACGACGACUAUUCAGGGAACCGGCUCAUGCGUGUAGGAUUUAGACUUGCUCUUUGGGAUGUGAGGAUAUCUCCAUACUCGUUAUAAAUCGGCUGAUAUUCAUGGAGAUGGCUGGCGGGGGAGGUGCAUCGGCUGGAUGAGAAAUAAUGAGGACCCCCUGCACAGAAGAUUUCACAGACUGUGUUUUUUAUUGGCAGGAAAUCAUUUAUUUUCCAUGCUAAAAUGAAUGCUGUGGUUUUAUAGUCAUCCCAGCAACUGAUAAAGCUGCCUCGGAGCAUCAUAGUUUAUUUUAAAUGGGUGGAAAUCAACCACAGGAAGCCAAUAAUUAAGAAAUGAGCUCAGAUUUUGAUUGCAUUCACAAAACUGUAAGAGCUGGAAGCAUGUAAGCAAUCAAUGAAAAGAAAACUCUUGGCAGCAUUUGUCAAGAAACUGUAAAACUCCUUUGUGAGAUCUUAAAACACCUGCUGUUUUCUACAUACUUUUUACUUCUGCUUUGAGGAUUUGUGUCAGCUUUGUACUUAAAAUUAUUUAGUGGUUUUUAGGGGACGUUUCACCAUGGAUCUGCACCUCAUUGUUUGACUUGAUGUACAUCAUCCCUGAAUGAACUUGCCCUUUAGGAAUACGUGUUAUAUACAGCAGUCUGUCACAGCGGUUGGAACAAAUUCAGCCAGGAGAUGUGGUGACGUUGGACAGCGUUUGCUGCCCCCCGGGCCACUGAGCUCUGUUUCCUCCGACUGGUGGCCGAGGAAGCUUUGUCUCAGUCGAUGGGCCCUGUGUGGAUUUUGUGCCUGAGUUGACGCAGGGCAGGCCCAAAGCAU